rnacentral:rRNA from 1 species
UAGGGAAUCUUCGGCAAUGGACGGAAGUCUGACCGAGCAACGCCGCGUGCGUGAAGAAGGUCUUCGGAUCGUAAAGCUCUUUUGUUAGAGAAGAACGUUGGUAGGAGUGGAAAAUCUACCAAGUGACGGUAACUAACCAGAAAGGGACGGCUAUCUACGUGCCAGCAGCCGCGGUAAUACGUAGGUCCCGAGCGUUGUCCGGAUUUAUUGGGCGUAAAGCGAGCGCAGGCGGUUCUUUAAGUCUGAAGUUAAAGGCAGUGGCUUAACCAUUGUACGCUUUGGAAACUGGAGGACUUGAGUGCAGAAGGGGGGAGUGGAAUUCCAUGGGUAGCGGUGAAAUGCGUAGAUAUAUGGAGGAACACCGGUGGCGAAAGCGGCUCUCUGGUCUGUAACUGACGCGGAGGCUCGAAAGCGUGGGGAGCAAACAGG